AGAACUACAAGCUUCAAUUUCAAUGAGAUUCAAGAAUUUCGAACACAAUUCCGUUCGAUUUUUGUCAGAUUUCAGCAGCAACAAAAAUCAACAAGUUUCUUAGAUUAUACAGGAUCUGAGAAGGAAGGGGAUGAAGUUGAUUCGAUGUGUAGCAUAUGUGGGAUUGGAGAGGAAAGCGAGCUUCACUGUUUGAAGGAGUGCGUAAUUGACAGACAUAUUUGGGAUACGUGUCAAGGUACUUGUAUGGGGAUCUAUAUGCAAGCAAUAAUAUAUGGGCAACUACUGAGAAUCCAACAAACUGUGAAAACCUUAGCACAGUAGCAAUUAAUGUCGUUUAGUUGUGUAAAAGACUCACCACUUCAGUGCAGUGCUGGAGCAACUACACUUCCAGCUCUGGGAUACAUAUAUUCAUUUGCACAGGACAACUAGAAAGAUGUUCUCAAUCUAGCCAGCAUCGGAGUUUACAAAGUUGUUUGCCCAAGCUGUUGCAACUAUGCUUACUCAAAGGAGAUUGCAAGGCCUGCCACUAGUCCAACUCCAAGUCCAUCAUCCCCUUCAAGGGGAGCUCAUUCUCUUGCACCUCUUAGAGAUUGGCUAUCCUUUCUUCUCUGCUUCCUGAUUCAGCAUUUAUUAUUUUGAGCAUUGUUUCAUUUGCAUUCAGCUAGGAUAGUCGUAUACUCGUAUAUAUAUAUAGUUGUUUGUAUCUCCGUGGAUUUGAGAAGCGUGUUGAAAUUUUUCGAGAUACACAUUAUUGUAAUUGGGAGUGUGUGUAUAUAUAUAUAUGUAUUAAUCUUGUUACAUUUCAAACUUUAGUAUAUUAUAAUUAAAAUAAAGCUACAAAAACAAAACAAAAAACAAAAAACAAAAAAAAAAAAAAAAAAAACGGAGAAAAGGUAGGGGUUCAGGAGAAAACCGCUACUUUUAAGUUGUAAAAAAUCAAAUUCGUACUAAAUUAUAUGAGCAAAAAAAAUGGUUUGAAAUGAUUUUAUAACUAUAUAA